GAUGAACGCUAGCGGCAGGCUUAAUACAUGCAAGUCGAGGGGCAUCAAGGUACACGAAAGUGUAUUGUUGGCGACCGGCGGACGGGUGAGUAAUAGGUAGGUAACCUACCUCAUACUGAGGCAUAGCUGGGAGAAAUUCCAGGUAAUUCCUCAUGAGGUUAUAUGACACAUGUGAUAUAAUCAAAGGUAUCGCAAGGUACUGGUAUGAGAUGGGCUUACUGACCAUUAGCUAGUUGGUGAGAUAAGAGCUCACCAAGGCGAAGAUGGUUAGGGGUUUGAGAGAGAGAUCCCCCACAUUGGAACUGAGAUACGGUCCAGACUCCUACGGGAGGCAGCAGUAGGGAAUAUUGGGCAAUGGGCGGAAGCCUGACCCAGCCAUGCCGCGUGAAGGAAGACGGCCUUAUGGGUUGUAAAACUUCUUUACUAUGCGACUAACUAGAUUUACGAGAUAAUUACUAUAGAAUAGUAGCAAAGA
rnacentral:rRNA from 1 species